rnacentral:lncRNA from 1 species
UGAUUUUUUUUUUUUUCUUCCAGAGGCUAAAAGCUGCUGUUCACUACACGGUGGGUUGUCUUUGUGAGGAAGUCACCUCGGACAAAGAGAUGCAGUUCAGCAAACAAACCAUUGCAGCAAUUUCAGAGUUAACUUUUCGACAGUGCGGUAUGAAGCCAGGGUCUUCCUCUCUGUGUCUAUCUAUCCCGUAGGUUGGUCUGCCUGGGAGCAGUGUGCGGGUGGGACUGUGGUGUCUCUUACCCACACACGGAGGAUGUCAUCAUCGUCACAUUCUUCAUGAAAAACUUUUCCUGGCUGUGAGAUUUGGACAUUUUAUGGGAAGAACUGUUAGAGUUUUUUUCCUAUUGCACCAACACUAAGGUAUUAACGCCUUUUUUAUUAUCUUUUAAACUGCCCUGAUGGCUAGAACAUUAGACAUUAAAUUUUUUAUUUCAAUGCUUUAUAACAUUUUUAUAUCACGUGUUUUGACAGCUGAAUUUGUGGUAUUGGUACUUGCUUAACUUUAGAGGAAAUUAGUGCCCUCACAAGCCCUAACCUGUUGCAGAAUUUAAUAUUAAAGUAUAGUUCCUAUAGUUUCUAGAAACUAAAGGUGGAGUCAUAAUUAAUGGAAGGCUUAUAAUAAAGGGUGGAGGCUGUGAGAAGGACAAGGAGGUCAUCAUGAUUAAAAAAGCUAAGGGCUGUGGGGCUGGGAUUGUGGCUCAGUAGAGCUGCUUGCCUAGCAGGCUCAGGGCCUUGGGUUCGAUCCUCAGCACCACAUAAAAAUAAGUGAAUGAAAUAAAGGUAUUGGGUCCAACUACAACAUACAUAAAUAAAUAAAUAAAAGCUAAGGGCUGUUACCAAAUGAUGGGGCUGCCUGAAAUGCCUCCACUCCUCUUUAAAAGGGUUCCCUGUGUUAAUCACUGGCAGUACGGUGCAGCAUCCACAUCCCCCUUCUCCUGAAAUGAGACUGUGCUCAGGGUGGUUAAAGUGUAUCCCUUUUUUUCUCUUUCAGAAAAUUUUGCCAAAGACCUGGAAAUGUUUGCCAGGUGGGUCGAGAGCUUGCUGAUGUAGUGCUGCUUGCUUAUGUUCUGCUGAUGCUCUCCAUCUGGGAUGUGUGUGUGUGUGUGUGUGUGUGUGUGUCAGGAGAGCUUUGGCUUGUUGUGUUUUAGAACUUUGUAGAUGCUUCGUCUCUAAUCAUGAUUCUGCAGGAAUAUAGCAUCUGCUUUAAUCAUGCCGAUUCAGACUUGGCAUCUUUGGAAGUUCUCCAAGUGUUUUCUGGUAAAAAACCUAAGUUACUCAUUUCCAGGUUGAAAAGGCCUGAGUGAUAUCUCCAGGACUCUGAAUGUGCUGGUGUCUAUUUUAAGAACCAUGCUUUGAGGAUGGUUUGAUUGCUCUGUGUCUGAGUGUAGGCUGUCGGCCCUCUGAGGGGGCCCUUUGGGCUCCCCUGCAGUGAUUGCUCGCAGGUGUAUGGAUAGUGAUGGACAACAGAGGCUUUUGUUUUGCCACCAAAUGAGUAAGACAUGCUCUGUGGAAAGGGGCAAUUUGCUUUCAGCUGGUAAAGCUUGAGCUUUUACAAGUGAUUUAUGUUCAUCUCUUCAAUUAGUACCUCAGGUAAUUGAAAACAAUCGCAAGAAAUUGCUUUUGUGCAACAGCUGGAAUGACUAAGGCAUGGAAGGCUGAAGCUUUCUUGCUAUCGCUUCUGAGCUGGUGCCAGUGCCUCCCAUGCCCACCCUGUUCACC